rnacentral:misc_RNA from 1 species
AAUUUCCCAAAUAUUUAAGAU